AUUUUUGUUUUUCAGCUAGCGUAAAGAAAAAAAAAAAGAAAAGUAUUCGUCAAUAUAUCUCAUAGUCAAGACAGUAUUUUAACUGUUUAAAAGUCAAAUCAGGGUGUUUAAUCUGUUGUUAUUCCAUACAAAAUAUAUUUAGAAAGGAGAAAACGACCAUUAAACCCCUAGAAUUUCAAAUUAAAGCAAUAAACCUUCAAUAUGGAUUUAAGUAAAAAAACAAUUUCAAUUUUUAAAUAUCGACUGUUUUAAUUCUUAUAUGUUGUUUCUACUUCUUGUUUUCAUCAGAGAUUGUUUCUAAAUUGAUUUGGAAAUAUGAAAUCAAAUUCAAGAGUAAGUUUUCGAGUGAGGAAGAUGAUAUAAAUCAAUUUAAAAUUUUCUUAAAUAAAAUAUUUUUUUAAAAAACGUCAUCAUAUCCGAUAUAACAGUUGUUAUUCGAGUUUAGUAACUGACUAUCUGAGUUUAUUAAAUGGUUGAGUCAACAAAAAAUAUAAAUAAAAAUGGCAAAUAUUUAAAAGUUGAAUAUUGUUUUGGCUAAAUUCAAGUGAAUUUUUUUUUUUAAUUUGAAAAUUCAGGAUUUUGAUGGUUAUUUCUCAUGUACAAAGUCCCGUAUGAUCUCUAUCCCAGACCCUCA
rnacentral:lncRNA from 1 species